rnacentral:rRNA from 1 species
CCUACGGGAGGCAGCAGUGAGGAAUAUUGGUCAAUGGACGAGAGUCUGAACCAGCCAAGUAGCGUGAAGGAUGACUGCCCUAUGGGUUGUAAACUUCUUUUAUAUGGGAAUAAAAUGUUCCACGUGUGGGAUUUUGUAUGUACCAUAUGAAUAAGGAUCGGCUAACUCCGUGCCAGCAGCCGCGGUAAUACGGAGGAUCCGAGCGUUAUCCGGAUUUAUUGGGUUUAAAGGGAGCGUAGGUGGAUUGUUAAGUCAGUUGUGAAAGUUUGCGGCUCAACCGUAAAAUUGCAGUUGAAACUGGCAGUCUUGAGUACAGUAGAGGUGGGCGGAAUUCGUGGUGUAGCGGUGAAAUGCUUAGAUAUCACGAAGAACUGCGAUUGCGAAGGCAGUUCACUGGACUGCAACUGACACUGAGGCUCGAAAGUGUGGGUAUCAAACAGGAUUAGAUACCCGAGUAGUC